rnacentral:rRNA from 1 species
UGUUGGUAGGGUAACGGCCUACCAAGGCUACGAUCAGUAGGGGUUCUGAGAGGAUUAACCCCCACACUGGUACUGAGACACGGACCAGACUCCUACGGGAGGCAGCAGUGAGGAAUAUUGGUCAAUGGGCGGAAGCCUGAACCAGCCAUCCCGCGUGAAGGAAGACAGCCUUACGGGUUGUAAACUUCUUUUCUGUCAGAAGAAUAAGCUUGUCGAGACGAGUGAUGCCGGUAUGACAGGAAUAAGCAUCGGCUAACUCCGUGCCAGCAGCCGCGGUAAUACGGAGGAUGCAAGCGUUAUCCGGAUUUAUUGGGUUUAAAGGGUGCGCAGGUUGUUUGAUAAGUCAGUGGUGAAAGUCUGUCGCUUAACGGUAGGAUUGCCAUUGAUACUGUUGGACUUGAAUAUGGAUGAGGUAGGCGGAAUGUGUAGUGUAGCGGUGAAAUGCAUAGAUAUUACACAGAACACCGAUUGCGAAGGCAGCUUACUAAUCCAUCAUUGACGCUGAGGCACGAAAGCGUGGGGAUCAAACAGGAUUAGAUACCCUGGUAGUCCACGCCGUAAACGAUGAUCACUCGCUGUUUGCGAUAUACAGUA